AUACGUAGGUGACAAGCGUUAUCCGGAUUUAUUGGGUUUAAAGGGAGCGUAGGUGGAUUGUUAAGUCAGUUGUGAAAGUUUGCGGCUCAACCGUAAAAUUGCAGUUGAAACUGGCAGUCUUGAGUACAGUAGAGGUGGGCGGAAUUCGUGGUGUAGCGGUGAAAUGCUUAGAUAUCACGAAGAACUCCGAUUGCGAAGGCAGCUCACUUGACUGCAACUUACACUGAUGCUCGAAAGUGUGGAUAUCAAACAGUAUUAGAUACCCUGGUAGUCCACACAGUAAACGAUGAAUAAUCGCUGUUUUCGAUAUACAGUAAGCGGCCAAGCGAAAGCAUUAAGGAGUCCACCUGGGGAGUUCGCCGGCAACGGUGAAACUCAAAGGAAUUGACGGGG
rnacentral:rRNA from 1 species